AAGAGAUUUGGGAGUGCUCGAAAGAGAACCGGCGCACAGGUGCUGCAUGGCUGUCGUCAGCUCGUGUCGUGAGAUGUUGGGUUAAGUCCCGCAACGAGCGCAACCCUUGUCAUUAGUUGCUACGAAAGGGCACUCUAAUGAGACUGCCGGUGACAAACCGGAGGAAGGUGGGGAUGACGUCAAGUCCUCAUGGCCCUUAUGGGUAGGGCUUCACACGUCAUACAAUGGUACAUACAGAGGGCCGCCAACCCGCGAGGGGGAGCUAAUCCCAGAAAGUGUAUCGUAGUCCGGAUUGGAGUCUGCAACUCGACUCCAUGAAGUUGGAAUCGCUAGUAAUCGCGGAUCAGCAUGUCGCGGUGAAUACGUUCCCGGGUCUUGUACACACCGCCCGUCACACCAUGGGAGCGGGUUUUACCAGAAGUGGGUAGCCUAACCGCAAGGAGG
rnacentral:rRNA from 1 species